UACGUAGGGUGCGAGCGUUGUCCGGAAUUAUUGGGCGUAAAGAGCUUGUAGGCGGUUUGUCGCGUCUGCCGUGAAAUUUCGAGGCUCAACCUCGAACUUGCGGUGGGUACGGGCAGACUAGAGUGUGGUAGGGGGAGACUGGAAUUCCUGGUGUAGCGGUGAAAUGCGCAGAUAUCAGGAGGAACACCGGUAGCGAAGGCGGGUCUCUGGGCCGA
rnacentral:rRNA from 1 species